rnacentral:rRNA from 1 species
GUCUACUGCCAUGCCACCCUGAACGUGCCCAAUCUCACCUGAUCUCGGAAGCUAAGCAGGGUUGGGCCUGGUUAGUACUUGGAUGGGAGACCACCUAGGAAUACCAGGUGCUAUAGGUG